rnacentral:rRNA from 1 species
AUUGAACGCUGGCGGCACGCCUAACACAUGCAAGUCGAGCGGCAGCGCGAUUCGUAGCAAUACGAAUUGGCGGCGAGCGGCGGACGGGUGAGGAACGCGUAGGAACUUGCCCUUUAGUGGGGGAUAACCAAGGGAAACUUUGGCUAAUACCGCAUACACUCGAGAGAGAAAAGCUGCCCGUAAGGGUGGCGCUAGAGGAGAGGCCUGCGUCCGAUUGGCUAGUUGGAGAGGUAAGGGCUCACCAAGGCGACGAUCGGUAUCUGGUCGGAGAGGACGACCAGUCACACUGGGACUGUGACACGGACAAGACUCCUACGGGAGGCAGCAGUGGUGAAUAUUGGACAAUGGGGGCAACCCUGAUCCAGCGGUGCCGAGUGGGUGAAGAAGGCCUUCGGGUUGUAAAGCCCUUUAGGUUGGGACGAAGUUUAGUAGAAGAUAACGCUAUUAAAUUGACGGUACCGACAGAAUAAGCACCGGCAAACUCUGUGCCAGCCGCCGCAGUAA